rnacentral:rRNA from 1 species
GAUGAACGCUAGCGGGAGGCCUAACACAUGCAAGCCGAGCGGUAUUUGUCCUUCGGGACAGAGAGAGCGGCGUACGGGUGCGGAACACGUGUGCAACCUGCCUUUAUCUGGGGGAUAGCCUUUCGAAAGGAAGAUUAAUACCCCAUAAUAUAUCGAAUGGCAUCAUUCGAUAUUGAAAACUCCGGUGGAUAGAGAUGGGCACGCGCAAGAUUAGAUAGUUGGUGAGGUAACGGCUCACCAAGUCAGUGAUCUUUAGGGGGCCUGAGAGGGUGAUCCCCCACACUGGUACUGAGACACGGACCAGACUCCUACGGGAGGCAGCAGUGAGGAAUAUUGGACAAUGGGUGAGGGCCUGAUCCAGCCAUCCCGCGUGAAGGACUAAGGCCCUAUGGGUUGUAAACUUCUUUUAUACUGGGAUAAACCUACUUACGUGUAAGUAGCUGAAGGUACAGUAUGAAUAAGCACCGGCUAACUCCGUG